rnacentral:rRNA from 1 species
AACGAACGCUGGCGGCAUGCCUAACACAUGCAAGUCGAACGAGACCUUCGGGUCUAGUGGCGCACGGGUGCGUAACGCGUGGGAACCUGCCCUUAGGUUCGGAAUAACUCCCCGAAAGGGGUGCUAAUACCGGAUAAUGUCUUCGGACCAAAGAUUUAUCGCCUUUGGAUGGGCCCGCGUUGGAUUAGCUAGUUGGUAGGGUAAAAGCCUACCAAGGCGACGAUCCAUAGCUGGUCUGAGAGGAUGAUCAGCCACACUGGGACUGAGACACGGCCCAGACCCCCACGGGGGGAAGCAGGGGGGAAAUUUGGACAAGGGGCGAAAGCUUGACCCACCAUUCCCGGGGGAUGGGAAAGGGCCUUGGGGUUGAAAACCUUUUUUCCCCGGGAUGAAAAGGACGGACCGGGGGAAAAAAGCCCCGGCUAACCCCUG